rnacentral:rRNA from 1 species
AGAGAGAGACAUGCGCGCAUAUCAAUAAGCGGAGGAAAAGAAACUAACAAGGAUUCCCUUAGUAACGGCGAGUGAAGCGGGAAGAGCUCAAAUUUGAAAUCUUCAAGGUUUUACCCUGACGAAUUGUAGUUUAAAGAAGUGUUUUCUGCUGAAGUUUUGGUAAAAGUUCUUUGGAAUAGGACAUCAUAGAGGGUGAGAAUCCCGUAUUUGACCAUUAUUUUCAGCUUUGUGAUACACUUUCAAAGAGUCGGAUUGUUUGGGAAUGCAGUCCAAAAUGGGUGGUAAAUUUCAUCUAAAGCUAAAUAUUGGCGAGAGACCGAUAGCGAACAAGUACCGUGAGGGAAAGAUGAAAAGAACUUUGAAAAGAGAGUUAAACAGUACGUGAAAUUGUCAAAAGGGAAGCGUUUGACACCAGUGUUGUUUUCUCGAAAAUCAAUUAAAAAUGGCUCGAUUUUGUAUUGUUGAGACCUUAAAAGCUCACUGUACAUUUUUCGUGUCUUUUUUAAUGCACUUUUCGUUUAACAAGUCAACAUCAGUUUCUUUUGUUGUAAAAGGGUCAUUGGAAGGUGGCUUUCUUUUCGGAGAAAGUGUUUAUAGCCUUUGGCCUCUGCAAUCGAAGAGACUGAGGUCUGCAGCGUAGACUCUUCGGGGUUAGAUACAUUUGUGCUAAGUUAUAGCUUUUAUAGACAACUUGUUGACUAUGAUUAGUCAUGUAGCUUACUCGCUUAUGCUAUUUUACCUACGCUUAGGAUGUUGAGUCGUAGAGCACGCAG